rnacentral:rRNA from 1 species
GACGAACGCUGGCGGCGCGCUUAACACAUGCAAGUCGAACGGAAAGGCCUGCUUUCCCUUGUGGAUUGCGGGUACUCGAGUGGCGAACGGGUGAGUAACACGUGAGUGAUCUGCCCCCAACUUGGGUAUAAGCCUGGGAAACUGGGUCUAAUUCCCGAUAGGACUGCAGGGUGGUGCCUGUGGUGGAAAACGAUUUUCUAGUGGUUGGGGAUGAGCUCGCGGCCUAUCAGCUUGUUGGUGGGGUAAUGGCCUACCAAGGCGGCGACGGGUAGCCGGCCUGGGAGGGUGGACGGCCACAUUGGGACUGAGAUACGGCCCAGACUCCUACGGGGGGCAGCAGUGGGGAAUAUUGCACAAUGGGCGGAGGCCUGAUGCAGCGACGCCGCGUGGGGGAUGACGGCCUUCGGGUUGUAAACUCCUUUCGACCGCGAGGAAGCCACCUGGUUGGAAGGGUGGUGACGGUAGUGGUAGAAGAAGCACCGGCUAACUACGUG